UACGGAGGGUGCAAGCGUUAUCCGGAUUCACUGGGUUUAAAGGGUGCGUAGGUGGGUAGGUAAGUCAGUGGUGAAAUCUUCGAGCUUAACUCGGAAACUGCCAUUGAUACUAUCUGUCUUGAAUACCGUGGAGGUGAGCGGAAUAUGUCAUGUAGCGGUGAAAUGCUUAGAUAUGACAUAGAACACCAAUUGCGAAGGCAGCUCACUACACGAAUAUUGACACUGAGGCACGAAAGCGUGGGGAUCAAACAGG
rnacentral:rRNA from 1 species